UACGUAGGGUGCGAGCGUUGUUCGGAUUUACUGGGCGUAAAGGGCGCGUAGGCGGUCAGCACAAGUCAGUUGUGAAAUCUUAAGGCUUAACCUUAAGCGGUCAACUGAUACUGUCGUGCUAGAGUGCAGAAGGGGCAAUCGGAAUUCUUGGUGUAGCGGUGAAAUGCGUAGAUAUCAAGAGGAACACCUGAGGUGAAGACGGGUUGCUGGGCUGACACUGACGCUGAGGCACGAAAGCUAGGGUAGCAAACGGG
rnacentral:rRNA from 1 species